rnacentral:rRNA from 1 species
GAUGAGCGCUGGCGGCGUGCCUAAUACAUGCAAGUCGAGCGGUAAGGCCCUUUCGGGGGUACACGAGCGGCGGACGGCUGAGUAACACGUAGGAACAUACCCCAAAGUGAGGGAUAACUGCUCGAAAGAGUAGCUAAUACCGCAUGUGAUCUAAGGAUUAAAGCUUUACGCGCUUUGGGAAUGGCCUGCGUUCGAUUAGCUAGUUGGUAGUGUAAUGGACUACCAAGGCGAUGAUCGAUAGCUGGUCUGAGAGGAUGAUCAGCCAGACUGGGACUGAGACACGGCCCAGACUCCUACGGGAGGCAGCAGUAGGGAAUUUUCCACAAUGGACGAAAGUCUGAUGGAGCAACGCCGCGUGCAGGAUGAAUGCCUUCGGGUUGUAAACUGCUUUUAUUAGUGACGAAUAUGACGGUAACUAAUGAAUAAGGACCUGCUAACUACGUGCCAGCAGCCGCGGUAA